rnacentral:rRNA from 1 species
AUGACCCAAAUGCUAGUGCUCGGUGUUGUUGCCAUAUUCCUCACCUCCUUCCUCCUCCUGGCAAUGUCGACAUCACGAGUAGAGAAGCACCUCCACCUCAUAGGCUCCCUCCCACACGUCUCCCUUGGAGACCUUUCAAGGAAGCACGGUAUGCUCCUCCGACUCGGCGCCAUUCCCACGCUCGUCGUGUCUUCCCCUAGCGCGGCAAAGGCUGUCCUGCGCACCCAAGACAACGUCUUCGCGUCCCGGCCUCCCUUCACCAUAGGCGACAUCCUCUACACAGGCUCCACCAACAUCGCCAAUGCCCCCUACGGCGAAGCGACUACUUGUGGCAGAUGA